rnacentral:rRNA from 1 species
UGGGGGAUAUUGCACAAUGGGCGCAAGCCUGAUGCAGCGACGCCGCGUGGGGGAUGACGGCUUUCGGGUUGUAAACCUCUUUCGUCGGGGGACAAGGCUCUGCUUGGUGGUGGGGUUGAGGGUACCCGGUGAAGAAGCGCCGGCUAACUACGUGCCAGCAGCCGCGGUAAUACGUAGGGCGCGAGCGUUGUCCGGAAUUAUUGGGCGUAAAGGGCUCGUAGGCGGCUUGUCGCGUCUGCUGUGAAAAUGCGGGGCUUAACUCCGUACGUGCAGUGGGUACGGGCAGGCUAGAGUGCGGUAGGGGUGACUGGAAUUCCUGGUGUAGCGGUGGAAUGCACAGAUAUCAGGAGGAACACCGAUGGCGAAGGCAGGUCUCUGGGCUGUAACUGACGCUGAGAAGCGAAAGCAUGGGGAGCGAACAGGAUUAGAUACCCUGGUAGUCCAUGCCGUAAACGUUGGGCACUAGGUGUGGGGGACAUUCCACGUUUUCCGCGCCGUAGCUAACGCAUUAAGUGCCCCGCCUGGGGAGUACGGCCGCAAGGCUA